CCGAGUGAAAGUUUGAAGACUUAGGAAGUAAUGGGUGAGAAAAUCACAUGACAACAGAAAUUAUAGAGCACUGAAGUGCUAAUCCUGCUAUUGACAUGAAUAAUAAAAUGGAUCUAUAGAAACUAUGUCUUCAGACUGUCCCCCACUGCUUAUACACAGAGAAAAGAGGUGUGCUGUUUUAGACCCUGAGCGUGUGCUAUAUUAGCACCGUGGUGUGCUAAACAGUGAUUCAGCACACUACAUGUGCUGUUUUGUAGGCAUAUAGCACAGCCUACGUGUUGUAUUGGUGUGCUUUUUCAUGGCUUGUGAUUUUGAUGUUCGAUUAAUGUGCUAAAUGGACUGUGCUAAAUGUAAUGGGUGUGCUGAAACAGGUAAACAUGCUAAUUCAGCACAGUGUGCUGUUUUCAGUACCAAAUAAGGGCAUGCAGUACAACAGAUGUGCAGCUGCAGCUGCAUAGCAACAAAAAUUUUUUUUUUAUUUGCAAAGAAGAAAAGAAGUUGAGUUUAGACAUGGUUUGAGAGCUGUUUGACAAAACUGUGGAACUAGGUAAGUUUCCCUCAACAUGCUGAACAAUGCUGUACAAUGUAAUUGCACAGCUAUUGUAUUGUACCAGGUGUCAUACAGUACACAGGGGGAGCAUCUGUACAAUGUAAUUGCACAGCUAUUGUAUUGUACCAGGUGUCAUACAGUACACAGGGGAGCAUCUGUACAAUGUAAUUGCACAGCUAUUGUAUUGUACCAGGUGUCGUACAGUACACAAGGGAGCAUCUGUACAAUGUAAUUGCACAGCUAUUGUAUUGUACCAGGUGUCAUACAGUACACAGGGGAGCAUCUGUACAAUGUAAUUGCACA